rnacentral:rRNA from 1 species
GACGAACGCUGGCGGCGUGCCUAAUACAUGCAAGUAGAACGCUGAAGGAGGAGCUUGCUUCUCUGGAUGAGUUGCGAACGGGUGAGUAACGCGUAGGUAACCUGCCUGGUAGUGGGGGAUAACUAUUGGAAACGAUAGCUAAUACCGCAUAAUAGCAGUUGUUGCAUGACAGCUGUUUGAAAGGUGCAAUUGCACCACUACCAGAUGGACCUGCGUUGUAUUAGCUAGUUGGUGGGGUAACGGCCCACCAAGGCGACGAUACAUAGCCGACCUGAGAGGGUGAUCGGGCCACACUGGGACUGAGACACGGCCCAGACUCCUACGGGAGGCAGCAGUAGGGAAUCUUCGGCAAUGGACGGAAGUCUGACCGAGCAACGCCGCGUGAGUGAAGAAGGUUUUCGGAUCGUAAAGCUCUGUUGUAAGAGAAGAACGAGUGUGAGAGUGGAAAGUUCACGCUGUGACGGUAUC